AACGAACGCUGGCGGCGUGCUUAACACAUGCAAGUCGAACGAGGUGGCGAACGGGUGAGUAACGCGUAAUCAACCUACCCUUCAGAGGGGGACAACAGUUGGAAACGACUGCUAAUACCGCAUACUGAAGGAGGGGAUUGCGUCGGAUUCGCUAGGUGGAGGGGUAACGGCCCACAAAGGCGAUGAUCAGUAGCCGGUCUGAGAGGAUGAACGGCCACAUUGGGACUGAGACACGGCCCAGACUCCUACGGGAGGCAGCAGUGGGAAUCGUCCGAAAUGGAGGAAAGUCCGACUGAGCCACGCCGCGUGAGUGAUGACGGGUUUCGGGUUGGAAAGCUCUGUUAAGCGGGAAGCGGUACCGGAAGAGAAAGCCACGGCUAACUACGUGCCAGCAGCCGCGGUAAUUC
rnacentral:rRNA from 1 species